CUGCAGCCCGAGUGGUGGUCGAUAUUAUUGAGCCUAAAGCGUCCGUAGCCGGACUAGUAAAUUCUUGGGUAAAUCGGGCAGCUUAACUGUCCGACUUCCGAGGAGACUGCUAGUCUUGGGACUGGGAGAGGUCAGAGGUACUCCAGGGGUAGGGGCUAAAUCCUGUAAUCCUUGGGGGACCACCAGUGGCGAAGGCGUCUGACUAGAACGGAUCCGACGGUAAGGGACGAAGCCCUGGGGCGCAAACCGGAUUAGAUACCCGAGUAGUCC
rnacentral:rRNA from 1 species